GGAGAGGGGAUGGGGGAGGUCUCAGGUCCUCUUGCUCACCCAUCAGCUGUGUAGUGUCUGAAGUGAUUAAGGAGCUUGGGGAGAGCCCUGAAUGGGAAGAAAUGGGUUCCAUGUGCAGCAAGCCAGGAGAGAUUUAGGCAACGAGAACCUCCAGUUCUGUCUUAGGGUUCCCAGCUUUCUCCUUGUCCUGAGGGAGCCGCUGAGCCUGUGGGAGAUGAGGGGUGCCCAUUCCCCAGUGCUUCUCACCCUCCCCCACCUGCCCUCCUGGGGUACCUUUGUCUGCCACUUGCAUCCUAUUGGAAGCUGUCCCCAAGUGCGUGUUAGGCAGGUGGCAGGUGCUGGAGCAGAGUGCACCACCCUCCGGCGAUCACUGUGAGUUGGGGUAAGAGUGGGGUGUUCCUGCCAGCCCCAGGAGAGGGGAAAGCAAGCCCCCGUCCACCCUUGUGGGUCUCUGCUCCUGGAAAAGGUGCUCUAGCAGGCUCAUCUGUGUGAGUCACUGUCUUCCAUGUGGGGUAAGUUGAGCCCUGCCUUUUGGAUCUCAAAAUCCAGGGAUGCCGACAUCCUGGGUCUGGAGAAGGGAGGAGGCACAGGGCAGCAGAGCCCUGGCCUGUCUUUCCUGACGGGGUAUGGAGCUGGCAGGACAGGGAGGCUAGGUGGCUGGUGGUGCAGGGCGUGCCCAUCCCUCUACCUCCUUCCUCACAGCCCUGCACUGCUCUGUCCCGGUCUGGCCCCUCUUCUCUCCUCACUUUUUCUUCUCUGCUUCUCUUCUCUCUCACUCCCCUCCUAUCCUCAACCUUUUCGU
rnacentral:lncRNA from 1 species